CUCUCUCUCUCUGUCCGUCCCCCUCUCUCUCUGUCCGUCCCUCUCUCUCUCUGUCCGUCCCUCUCUCUCUCUGUCCGUCCCUCUCUCUCUCUGUCCGUCCCCUCUCUCUCUCUGUCCGUCCCUCUCUCUCUCUGUCCGUCCCCUCUCUCUCUCUGUCCGUCCCCUCUCUCUCUGUCCGUCCCUCUCUCUCUCUCUCUCUGUCCGUCUCUCUCUCUCUGUCCGUCCCUCUCUCUCUCUCUCUGUCCGUCCCUCUCUCUCUCUGUCCGUCUCUCUCUCUCUCUGUCCGUCCCUCUCUCUCUCUGUCCAGUCCUCUCUCUCUCUCUGUCCGUCUCUCUCUGUCCGUCCCUCUCUCUCUUCCUCUCCCUCUCUCUCUGUCCGUCCCUCUCUCUCUCUCUGUCCGUCUCUCUCUCUCUCUGUCCGUCCC
ensembl:lncRNA